GAAAAAACAAUUCUCAUUUUAAGCUUACGUAAUCUCGCAGAUGGUUCGCAGGACCAUUCUGCGAGAUUUGCAUGGACGUGAACGUCGCGUACUUGCCGGCGAUCUAUGCUGCUACUUCGUGUUUCGUCGUUGACGGGGGGUACCGAUGGUUAGCAGCCGUCGUCGAGUUCAGCGUUUCGAAUCUUUCGCAGAUGUCGUCGGUAGGAAGGUCCUGCUGUCGUCUAAUUCGUUGAAGAGGAAGUGCGCCUUGUCGGAAAACGGUGGUUCCGGCAAGUGCGGUGCGUUGCAUUGUGUUUGCAGGAGAAAAAACCCACUUGUAAAUGGGUUUUUACUUCAUUGUCAGUGAGGCUAUCCACCUGCAUUAGUUCUCUUAUCUGUUUGGAAGCGGCUGCUCCAUGUUGCUUACUUUGUUUGGAAAAAAAUUAUUCCUUCUCCAUUUCUCCGGAAUUAAGUGCUUCGAGGUCUCGCCGAAGACCCCCGGUGUUCACAAGCGCUCCGGGCUUUCGUUUCACGCAAUCCUGAAAUCACCCAAAAUGGAUGAUGGAUCCCCGGCAAUCCGGCGUGCAUGCGGCUCACUGCUCAGGAUCAAUGGACACUACAUGCUUGGUCAAAUGAUUAUCUCAAAUCAAUGCGGGGAAAAGGCACGAAGGUGUGGUGCAUGUUGGGGCUGGCGCCGGAUCUGCAACAAAUGGCCAUGAUGCAGCGGCACCCUCGUCCUUUGCUCUUUUUUUUUUUUUCAUUUAUUUGUUUGUACAUUUCUCUGGGAAUGAGGAAUUGCGUCUGUGAUAUGAUCCAUAUAAUAUGAACAAGCACAUAUGCAACCUGUAACUAGCCAAAUCAGUUAAUAGAUUCUUUUUAUAAUAUGAACAAGCACAUAUUCUCCAGGCUUUUUUUAUA